rnacentral:rRNA from 1 species
AUUGAACGCUGGCGGCAGGCCUAACACAUGCAAGUCGAGCGGAGCGGCGGUCGGGUGAGUAAUGCCUAGGACUCUGCCUGGUAGUGGGGGAUAACGUCCGGAAACGGGCGCUAAUACCGCAUACUAUCAGAUGAGCCUAGGUCGGAUUAGCGAGUUGGUGGGGUAAGGGCCUACCAAGGCGACGAUCCGUAACUGGGCUGAGAGGAUGAUCAGCCACACGGGAACUGAUACACGGUCCAGACUCCUACGGGAGGCAGCAGUGGGGAAUAUUGGACAAUGGGCGAAAGCCUGAUGCAGCCAUGCCGCGUGUGUGAAGAAGGUCUUCGGAUUGUAAAGCACUUUAAGUGGGGAGGCGUUACUAACAGAAUAAGCACCGGCUAACUUCGUGCCAGCAGCCGCGGUAAUUC